rnacentral:misc_RNA from 2 species
UCAACCCUCAAGCCCGGCUUGUUGUUGGACUCGGUGAGGUUAUCCUCACCGGCCUCAAAGAUAAUGACGGUGUCUGGAGGACCCUCGGUACAAUGAGCUUUCUAAGCACGUACUGAAGUGGACUUCGAGGCCCGGUCUCUUUUAACUAUUUACAA